rnacentral:misc_RNA from 1 species
AACGCACAUUGCGCCCGCCAGUAUUCUGGCGGGCAUGCCUGUUCGAGCGUCAUUUCAACCAUCAAGCCCCCGGGCUUGCGUUGGGGCCCUGCGGCUGCCGCAGGCCCCGAAAAGCAGUGGCGGGCUCGCAGUCACACCGAGCGCAGUAGCGAUAUUCGCUCCGGGCGUCGGCUGCGGGCACCGGCCGUGAAACCCCCCCUUCUACAAGGUUGACCUCGGAUCAGGUAGGAAUACCCGCUGAACUUAA